rfam:Bacillus sp. FJAT-18017 genome.
UAGUAUUGCCUUGAGAUAGGACGCCGUAAGGCUUAAUAGGGAAUCCGGUGCAAAUCCGGAACUGCCCCCGCAACUGUAAAUGCGACGAAAUGGACAAAUCCACUUUACACAGUGCUUGGAAACAGGUGCCUGUAAGGGAAGGGUUCAAAGUAGGUUGAAGCAUAAGUCAGGAGACCUGUCCAUCUUAAGCUGUUUCA